rnacentral:rRNA from 1 species
GACGAACCGAGCGAACGUUGUUCGGAAUCACUGGGCUUAAAGGGCGCGUAGGCGGUCCUUCAAGUCAGAUGUGAAAGCCCAGGGCUCAACCCUGGAAGUGCAUCUGAUACUGUGGGACUUGAAUCCUGGAGAGGGUGGUGGAAUUCCCAGUGUAGAGGUGAAAUUCGUAGAUAUUGGGAGGAACACCAGUGGCGAAGGCGGCCACCUGGACAGAGAUUGACGCUGAGGCGCGAAAAGCGUGGGGAGCAAACAGG